GUCGAGCGGACAGAUGGGAGCUUGCUCCCUGAUGUUAGCGGCGGACGGGUGAGUAACACGUGGGUAACCUGCCUGUAAGACUGGGAUAACUCCGGGAAACCGGGGCUAAUACCGGAUGGUUGUUUGAACCGCAUGGUUCAAACAUAAAAGGUGGCUUCGGCUACCACUUACAGAUGGACCCGCGGCGCAUUAGCUAGUUGGU
rnacentral:rRNA from 1 species